rnacentral:rRNA from 1 species
UACGGGGGGAGCAAGCGUUGUUCGGAUUUACUGGGCGUAAAGGGCGCGUAGGCGGCCUUCUAAGUCGAACGUGAAAUCCCCGGGCUCCAACCCGGGAACUGCGUCCGAUACUGGAAGGCUUGAAUCCGGGAGAGGGAUGCGGAAUUCCAGGUGUAGCGGUGAAAUGCGUAGAUAUCUGGAGGAACACCGGUGGCGAAGGCGGCAUCCUGGACCAUUACUGACACUGAAUAGCGAAAGCCAGGGGAGCAAACGGG